rnacentral:rRNA from 1 species
GAUGAACGCUGGCGGCGUGCCUAAUACAUGCAAGUCGAGCGAACGGACGAGAAGCUUGCUUCUCUGAUGUUAGCGGCGGACGGGUGAGUAACACGUGGAUAACCUACCUAUAAGACUGGGAUAACUUCGGGAAACCGGAGCUAAUACCGGAUAAUAUUUUGAACCGCAUGAUUCAAAAGUGAAAGACGGUCUUGCUGACACUUAUAGAUGGAUCCGCGCUGCAUUAGCUAGUUGGUAAGGUAACGGCUUACCAAGGCAACGAUGCAUAGCCGACCUGAGAGGGUGAUCGGCCACACUGGAACUGAGACACGGUCCAGACUCCUACGGGAGGCAGCAGUAGGGAAUCUUCCGCAAUGGGCGAAAGCCUGACGGAGCAACGCCGCGUGAGUGAUGAAGGUCUUCGGAUCGUAAAACUCUGUUAUUAGGGAAGAACAUAUGUGUAAGUAACUGUGCACAUCUUGACGGUACCUAAUCAGAAAGCCACGGCUAACUACGUG